UACGUAGGGUGCGAGCGUUGUUCGGAAUUACUGGGCGUAAAGGGCUCGUAGGCGGCCAACUAAGUCAGACGUGAAAUCCCUCGGCUCAACCGGGGAACUGCGUCUGAUACUGGAUGGCUUGAAUCCGGGAGAGGGAUGCGGAAUUCCAGGUGUAGCGGUGAAAUGCGUAGAUAUCUGGAGGAACACCGGUGGCGAAGGCGGCAUCCUGGACCGGCAUUGACGCUGAGGAGCGAAAGCCAGGGGAGCAAACGGG
rnacentral:rRNA from 1 species